AUGACAGCUAGUGACAAUUUUAUAAAUUCUACCUACAAACUUUAAUCUUUGUUUCAGACCAGGGCAAUAUUAAUAAUACCGCGAUAUAUUAUGCGUAUUUAAGUAUAUUACACGGGACACAAAGCAUUAUCAGGAGUGACACCACAUAAAACGACUGUAUUUGGAACAGCAAAAUCUGAAACAGCAGUGUUUGAACCGACAAAACCUAGAAUUUGUAUUUGUAGUAUUUUGAAAUGGCAAAAUGGGGAACUUUUAUAAUUUUGAAGGCAAAAGAACAAAAAUGACAAAAUUCAGACGACUUUUUUCUCAAAUAACAUUUUUAGAUUUUAAUAAAUAUUGUAUGAGAAAAUAAAAAUCGUUCCAAAUUUUUCCGUUCUAGUUAUUUUUCAGUUCCAGUUUUUGCUGUUUCUGAUUUCCAUAUUCCAAAUUUUGCAGUACCCGAUUUCACCGUUUCAGUUUUUGCAUUCCAUUGUUUGCCUUAGAAAUUAGAAAGUUUUCAGAUACUGCCAUUUUAUGUGGUGUCAUUCUUUUUAAUUCUGGCCUCCCUAUUACCCUAUUACACAUACUUACA